rnacentral:snRNA from 1 species
AUACUUACCUGGCAGGGGAGAUACCAUAAUUAAGUAGUUGGUUUUCCCAGGGUGAGGCUGAUCCAUUGCACUGGGGAUAUGCUGACCCCUACAAUUUCCCUACAUGGGUGAAACUCGACUGCAUAAUUUGUGUUGGUGGGGAAUUGCAUUGGUGUUUUCCCAAC